rnacentral:rRNA from 1 species
GAUGAACGCUGGCGGCAUGCCUAAUACAUGCAAGUCGAGCGAACAGACGAGGAGCUUGCUCCUCUGACGUUAGCGGCGGACGGGUGAGUAACACGUGGAUAACCUACCUAUAAGACUGGGAUAACUUCGGGAAACCGGAGCUAAUACCGGAUAAUAUAUUGAACCGCAUGGUUCAAUAGUGAAAGACGGUUUUGCUGUCACUUAUAGAUGGAUCCGCGCCGCAUUAGCUAGUUGGUAAGGUAACGGCUUACCAAGGCAACGAUGCGUAGCCGACCUGAGAGGGUGAUCGGCCACACUGGAACUGAGACACGGUCCAGACUCCUACGGGAGGCAGCAGUAGGGAAUCUUCCGCAAUGGGCGAAAGCCUGACGGAGCAACGCCGCGUGAGUGAUGAAGGUCUUCGGAUCGUAAAACUCUGUUAUUAGGGAAGAACAAAUGUGUAAGUAACUAUGCACGUCUUGACGGUACCUAAUCAGAAAGCCACGGCUAACUACGU